UACGAAGGGGGCUAGCGUUGCUCGGAAUCACUGGGCGUAAAGCGCACGUAGGCGGGUUCUUAAGUCAGGGGUGAAAUCCUGGAGCUCAACUCCAGAACUGCCUUUGAUACUGGGAAUCUCGAGUCCGGGAGAGGUGAGUGGAACUGCGAGUGUAGAGGUGAAGUUCGUAGAUAUUCGCAAGAACACCAGUGGCGAAGGCGGCUCACUGGCCCGGUACUGACGCUGAGGUGCGAAAGCGUGGGGAGCAAACAGG
rnacentral:rRNA from 1 species